rnacentral:misc_RNA from 1 species
GGACUAUAAAAUGCACUUAAAAAAACCAAAAACAACACACACAAAGGAGAGAGAGAGAGCUCCUCUUCUGUUUAUGCAUCUGCAUCUUCUCUUUCCUUGCUUUCCCGAGCUUCCCUCUCUCUAUCUCUCCCCUGGAAUCACCCCUUUUUAGUUUCUUUCUGCAUCUUCCAUUGUUCGUUGUUCUUGUUCUUCUUCCCACGAUGGGUAAAGAAAGGGAAAAAGAAAGAGUAGACAAGAAGAUGUUUGUUGGAGUUGUAAUGAACUGUGCUGCGGAGCUUAAGCUUUUUUUAACAGCUCUUUUAAUUCUCUGCUGUAUAGCUACUCUUCUACAGUUUAUUCCUUCUCGUUUCUCUAUCUCUACCUCUGAUCUCCGCUUCUGUAUCUCCAGAAUCACCACCACAACUACCACUACCACCACCACCACCGCCACCACCACCAAAGAU